rnacentral:rRNA from 1 species
AUUGAACGCUGGCGGCAGGCCUAACACAUGCAAGUCGAACGAGUGGCGGACGGGUGAGUAAUGUCUGGGACCCUGCCCGAUGGAGGGGGACAACUACUGGAAACGGUAGCUAAUACCGCAUACCAUCGGAUGUGCCCAGAUGGGAUGAGCUAGUAGGUGGGGUAACGGCUCACCUAGGCGACGAUCCCUAGCUGGUCUGAGAGGAUGACCAGCCACACUGGGACUGAGACACGGUCCAGACUCCUACGGGAGGCAGCAGUGGGGAAUUUUGGACAAUGGGGGAAACCCUGAUGCAGCCAUGCCGCGUGUGUGAAGAAGGCCUUCGGGUUGUAAAGUACUUUUGGCAGGGAAGCGUUACCUGCAGAAUAAGCACCGGCUAACUACGUGCCAGCAGCCGCGGUAAUAC